rnacentral:rRNA from 1 species
AACGAACGCUGGCGGCAUGCCUAACACAUGCAAGUCGAACGAGACCUUCGGGUCUAGUGGCGCACGGGUGCGUAACGCGUGGGAACCUGCCCUUAGGUUCGGAAUAACUCCCCGAAAGGGGUGCUAAUACCGGAUAAUGUCUUCGGACCAAAGAUUUAUCGCCUUUGGAUGGGCCCGCGUUGGAUUAGCUAGUUGGUAGGGUAAAAGCCUACCAAGGCGACGAUCCAUAGCUGGUCUGAGAGGAGGAUCAGCCACACUGGGACUGAGACACGGCCCAGAAUCCUACGGGAGGCAGCAGUGGGGAAUAUUGGACGAGGGGCGAAAGCCUGAUCCAGCAAUGCCGCGUGAGUGAUGAAGGCCUUAGGGUUGUAAAGCUCUUUUACCCGGGAUGAUAAUGACAGUACCGGGAGAAUAAGCUCCGGCUAACUCCGUG